UAUUAAAAUUUCAUUUAUUUUUACUCUUAAAAAUUGAUAUAAUUGACAGAAUAAUCAGAAAGUUACACAUGAUACAUCACGUGUACCUCAACUGACGUACAUGGGCUUAUUUUUAACAGUAGAGAUUGAUGAAAUUUUUAAUA
rnacentral:pre_miRNA from 1 species